rnacentral:rRNA from 1 species
GGGGAAUUGUUCGCAAUGGGCGCAAGCCUGACGACGCAACGCCGCGUGGAGGACGAAGAUUUUCGGAUCGUAAACCCCUGUCGAGCGGGAAGAAAAGCUUUGGAGCGAAUACCUCCGGAGCCUGACGGUACCGCUAAAGGAAGCCCCGGCUAACUCCGUGCCAGCAGCUGCGGUAAUACGGGGGGGGCAAGCGUUGUUCGGAAUUACUGGGCGUAAAGGGCGCGUAGGCGGCCAUCUAAGUCAGACGUGAAAUCCCCCGGCUUAACCUGGGAACUGCGUCUGAUACUGGAAGGCUCGAGUUUGGGAGAGGGAUGUGGAAUUCCAGGUGUAGCGGUGAAAUGCGUAGAUAUCUGGAGGAACACCGGUGGCGAAGGCGGCAUCCUGGACCAACACUGACGCUGAGGCGCGAAAGCUAGGGGAGCAAA